rnacentral:rRNA from 1 species
GACGAACGCUGGCGGCGUGCUUAACACAUGCAAGUCGAACGGAAAGGCCCUGCUUUUGUGGGGUGCUCGAGUGGCGAACGGGUGAGUAACACGUGAGUAACCUGCCCUUGACUUUGGGAUAACUUCAGGAAACUGGGGCUAAUACCGGAUAGGAGCUCCUGCUGCAUGGUGGGGGUUGGAAAGUUUCGGCGGUUGGGGAUGGACUCGCGGCUUAUCCGCUUGUUGGUGGGGUAGUGGCUUACCAAGGCUUUGACGGGUAGCCGGCCUGAGAGGGUGACCGGCCACAUUGGGACUGAGAUACGGCCCAGACUCCUACGGGAGGCAGCAGUGGGGAAUAUUGCACAAUGGGCGGAAGCCUGAUGCAGCAACGCCGCGUGCGGGAUGACGGCCUUCGGGUUGUAAACCGCUUUCGCCUGUGACGAAGCGUGAGUGACGGUAAUGGGUAAAGAAGCACCGGCUAACUACGUGCCAGCAGCCGCGGUGAUACGUAGGGUGCGAGCGUUGUCCGGAUUUAUUGGGCGUAAAGGGCUCGUAGGUGGUUGAUCGCGUCGGAAGUGUAAUCUUGGGGCUUAACCCUGAGCGUGCUUUCGAUACGGGUUGACUUGAGGAAGGUAGGGGAGAAUGGAAUUCCUGGUGGAGCGGUGGAAUGCGCAGAUAUCAGGAGGAACACCAGUGGCGAAGGCGGUUCUCUGGGCCUUUCCUGACGCUGAGGAGCGAAAGCGUGGGGAGCGAACAGGCUUAGAUACCCUGGUAGUCCACGCUGUAAACGGUGGGUACUAGGUGUGGGGUCCAUUCCACGGGUUCCGUGCCGUAGCUAACGCUUUAAGUACCCCGCCUGGGGAGUACGGCCGCAAGGCUAAAACCCAAAGGAAUUGACGGGGCCCCGCACAAGCGGCGGAGCAUGCGGAUUAAUUCGAUGCAACGCGUAGAACCUUACCUGGGUUUGACAUGGAUCGGGAGUGCUCAGAGAUGGGUGUGCCUCUUUUGGGGUCGGUUCACAGGUGGUGCAUGGCUGUCGUCAGCUCGUGUCGUGAGAUGUUGGGUUAAGUCCCGCGACGAGCGCAACCCUUGUUCACUGUUGCCAGCACGUUAUGGUGGGGACUCAGUGGAGACCGCCGGGGUCAACUCGGAGGAAGGUGGGGAUGACGUCAAGUCAUCAUGCCCCUUAUGUCCAGGGCUUCACGCAUGCUACAAUGGCUGGUACAGAGAGUGGCGAGCCUGUGAGGGUGAGCGAAUCUCGGAAAGCCGGUCUCAGCUCGGAUUGGGGUCUGCAACUCGACCUCAUGAAGUCGGAGUCGCUAGUAAUCGCAGAUCAGCAACGCUGCGGUGAAUACGUUCCCGGG